GACGAACGCUGGCGGCGUGCUUAACACAUGCAAGUCGAACGGAAAGGCCCUGCUUUUGUGGGGUGCUCGAGUGGCGAACGGGUGAGUAACACGUGAGUAACCUGCCCUUGACUUUGGGAUAACUUCAGGAAACUGGGGCUAAUACCGGAUAGGAGCUCCUGCUGCAUGGUGGGGGUUGGAAAGUUUCGGCGGUUGGGUAUGGACUCGCGGCUUAUCAGCUUGUUGGUGGGGUAGUGGCUUACCAAGGCUUUGACGGGUAGCCGGCCUGAGAGGGUGACCGGCCACAUUGGGACUGAGAUACGGCCCAGAAUCCUACGGGAGGCAGCAGUGGGGAAUAUUGCACAAUGGGCGGAAGCCUGAUGCAGCAACGCCGCGUGCGGGAUGACGGCCUUCGGGUUGUAAACCGCUUUCGCCUGUGACGAAGCGUGAGUGACGGUAAUGGGUAAAGAAGCACCGGCUAACUACGUG
rnacentral:rRNA from 1 species